UACGUAGGGUGCAAGCGUUGUCCGGAAUUACUGGGCGUAAAGCGCGCGUAGGCGGCUUGUUAAGUCAAAUGUGAAAUCCCCGAGCUUAACUUGGGCAUUGCAUUCGAUACUGGCAAGCUAGAGUAUGGGAGAGGAAGGUAGAAUUCCAGGUGUAGCGGUGAAAUGCGUAGAGAUCUGGAGGAAUACCGAUGGCGAAGGCGGCUCUCUGGGACGGUACUGACGCUGAGACGCGAAAGCGUGGGGAGCGAACAGG
rnacentral:rRNA from 1 species